GAUGAACGCUGGCGGCGUGCUUAAUACAUGCAAGUCGAACGGACAGGCGAUGAUUUUGUGGGGCGCACGAGUGGCGAACGGGUGAGUAAAACACGAGUAAAACGUACUUGAAAUUGGGAUAAAAUUAGGAAAAUCGGGCUAUUAUCGGAUAGGAGCUUUUGAUGCACAGUGGGGGAUGGAAAGUUACGGCGGUUGGGGAUAGACUAGAGGGUUAUCAGCUUGUUGGUGAGGUAGUGACUUACCAAGCCUUUGACGGGUAGCCCGCCUGAGAGCGUGACCGGCCACAUUGGGCCUGAGAGACGGCCCAGACUCGUACCGGCCGCAGCGGGCGGGAAUCUUGCGCAAUGGGCGGAAGCCUGAUGCAGCAACGCCGCGUGCGGGAUAACGGCCUUCUGGUUGUAAACCUCUUUCGCCGUAAACGUGGCGUGCGUGACGGUAAUUAAUAAGGAAGCACCGGCUAACUACGUG
rnacentral:rRNA from 1 species